UUUGGUAAAGCUAAACUGACCUGUGUAAUAAUGAAGCAACUUAAAUAAUGUCUUUUCAGGUAUUUUAUUUCAUAGGCAUAGUAAAUCCGAUUUAAAAAGAACAGAAGGCAUAAUAAUGUUUUGUCAUUUUUAAACUGUAUUAAGAUGUAGUUCAUGUAACAUUGAGAAUAUCCAUCAUUAAAACGUUUUUUUCUCUUAAUUUAAGGAGAGCUGCCACAAGAUCCACUGUGUUCCUGCUGUGCAACCACCAGUUUGGAAGUCCCUCAUCUUAUUGUAUUAUCCAUGUAUGUGGAAAUGUAAACUACAGAAAAACAACAACCGUCAAACAAUAAAAUAAAAGAUGGCAAAGACGUUUGGAUACCGUAGACAAGAAAUAGUGCAUAAGCAGCCGAGCAUUGAAGACAUGUUGACAAGAUGGCCAGCACUUUUUCAGAUGGAGGAGAUUAAUGCUGAGUUCAUGCGGGUGACAACAGUACCCUUGGAGACAAAGUUCUUAGCGCAGUUGGACAAGCACACGUCAAAACUGCUGGAGGUCAUCAGGAGCAAGGGAGGGCGUGUGAAAGAGCUGACCAAGGCAACUUUGCAGGUUUUAGAUGAGGUAUCUAUUUAUGAAUUGGUUCUUAAUGCGAUCCAUAGUUGAAUAGUUGGUGUGUAUGUGCUUUUAUUAAUACCUA